rnacentral:tRNA from 1 species
GCGUCCGUAGCUCAGCUGGAUAGAGCGACGGACUUCGAAUCCGUAGGCCGCAGGUUCGAGUCCUGUCGGACGCA